rnacentral:rRNA from 1 species
GACGAACGCUGGCGGCGUGCUUAACACAUGCAAGUCGAACGGAAAGGCCUGCUUUCCCUUGUGGAUUGCGGGUACUCGAGUGGCGAACGGGUGAGUAACACGUGAGUGAUCUGCCCCCAACUUGGGUAUAAGCCUGGGAAACUGGGUCUAAUUCCCAAUAGGACUGCAGGGUGGUGCCUGUGGUGGAAAACGAUUUUCUAGUGGUUGGGGAUGAGCUCGCGGCCUAUCAGCUUGUUGGUGGGGUAAUGGCCUACCAAGGCGGCGACGGGUAGCCGGCCUGAGAGGGUGGACGGCCACAUUGGGACUGAGAUACGGCCCAGACUCCUACGGGAGGCAGCAGCGGGGAAUAUUGCACAAUGGGCGGAAGCCUGAUGCAGCGACGCCGCGUGGGGGAUGACGGCCUUCGGGUUGUAAACUCCUUUCGACCGCGAGGAAGCCACCUGGUUGGAAGGGUGGUGACGGUAGUGGUAGAAGAAGCACCGGCUAACUACGUG